rnacentral:misc_RNA from 1 species
UAGGGAGACCUAAUCCAUUUAGAAAUCGAAAACAAUGAAAAUUGUCAAUAGAAACUAAAUUGGUCUAACCUAGGUCGUUCGAGAUUGGUAGACAUCUUUCAAAGUACUAUUCGGCUUCGUUCAAAACCAUAUAUAAUAAAUGGAAAAAGACAGCACCUAAUUGUCAAAGUUAGACUGCUGGAUGAAAUUCCAGCCAGAACCUUGAAAACUGCAUAAGAGAACAAGAAAAAGCAGGCAGACACAGACAUUUAGAUGGAUGUGGAAGCAAAAGAAAUUGU